ACCGCACCGCGCUGCGCUUGGGAAAGAAAAAUGGCGAGGGCGCACCGCACCACGCGAGGAAAAAACUACCGCACCAUGCGAGGGACGCGCUCGAUGUGCAGGCCAUCGUGAGCCCUGCGCCCGUUAGCUUGCUCCUCCAUCCCCGUUCCCUCAUCUCAACCGGCCUCCACUCCAUCUCCAUCCCCUCCCCUCUCUCGCUGCCGCCCCGCUCCCGCUCCCGCUCUCCCUCCCCGCCGCCCGCUUCGCCUACUCCUGAGGAGGCGGGCCCCGCAGAGGAGGACAGCCGCCGCCUCUUCCCUACCUCCCCAUCUCGCCCGAAACAUCGCUCCUGGAGCCCUUCCCAGUCCACGGUGGAGCCCCCAUCCCAGCUCCGCAUCCGAGAUCCGCGACAAGGGAGGGGUGGAUCGAUGAUGUUGCAGCAAAGAGGAACGAGGUUGGGCAGUGGUGAGGCAUCGGCACCAGAGACGCAGAUCUGCGGCGGAGCGGGAUAGGUGACGAGGAUGACCUGUGACUCCUCAUGGCAAAGGUAAUUUCUGACAUCCCCUUCCUGGCUCCCUUCCUCUGCUUCCCUGCUGUCGUAAUCCCACCAUCCGGCUUGUGGCGAAGUCUCAGUUGAGGAGAGGGUGCCGCUGCCGUAACCCCACCUGCUUGAUUUGAUCUUCGCCAAUGCACAUUGUAUAGAUUGAUUUGCAUCAUGACUCGGAUUGCAGAAGUGCAUUUUGUAAAGCAAAAAACUUUUGAUGCAAAGGAUCAGGGAACGGAGCUGAAUUAUCCCUUUCAGAUAUCAGCAUUGUACUUGCGGAAUUGCAUGGCAUGCAAAGCCUGAAAGCAACAACUCCCCCUGGACUGGACCGACGAAAUGAACUUGCAGCUACAAGGUGGACAUCAGAAUAUUGGAGAUUAGGCACGCACCGGGCUGUGGACAUCAGAAUAUUGGAGAUUAGGCACGCACCGGGCUGCUGUUAGCACACACACAUCGGUCGCUGAUCACUGUCAUUUUGAGCAGUUUUCCGGUAAGCCUGAGCUUUAAUCUCGGGUCAACUGUGAGCCUCAUUGUCAGAGGUAGGAUACAAAGGACACACUGUGCAUAUGUUGCAACCUUGACUUCUCUCGUCUAUGAAUAAUUUAGCUGCAGACACAUUUAGGACCUCUCAUUUCUGAAAUGGACAAGAAAAAAGGGCAAAAACAAAUUUGUCAAGUUGCUGCACACAAUUCCUUUGCUGUGAUCUGUGGAUGACCCUUCAAGCAGGGAUUAGGUAUAGAUGUAGAGUAAUUUACACGGAAGGAUUACACAUGUAACACACGGCAACCUAAUUCAUUUGACCGAGUCAGAGUUGAGGUCCCUGAUGAUGAAAACUGCUAACUGUUCUACUGAGAAUCUUAUCACUCCAGACUGGUUCAGUAAUGGUUGUAAUGUAGUUGUAUAGUUAUUUUGGUUGUUUGGCCUCUUCUUCGUUGGUUUCCAUUUUCUGCCAUGGUUUCUGUUUUUUCCCCUGUCUUUUGCUAAUCAUUUUUUUCUUCUAACCAAGAUUUUGCACCCUUAGGUGUCUAUAUUCUAUAUCAAAAUAAACAUAUAUACGAAAGAGGGAGGUGGCCCUUCCUCUAACCAACUCAGAUGACCUAAAUCUCACGCUUAAUUUAUUUAUGAUUUGAUAGGCACCUACAAAGAGCAACUUUGCUUAUGAUCCAGGGCAACGGCUAUCUGUCUUAAGCACUCAAUGAGCACUUUCUACCAGAUUAAUUGAAUGUUAAUUAUAUAGAUGAAGCUUAAAGCAUCCACCUACUGUUUCUGACCUGCACAUUGGUUUCAAGCUACAAACUAAAUUGGACUCAGACUAAUGAGUACAGAGUUACAAUAUUUUAAGGUUACAAUGGCAACGUAAAAUAAUGGAAGCUUUUCACCAUUACCUCCACUCCUGUUUCUAUUCAUUUUGGUCGCUCUAGGAAUUUCUAGCUCAUUUGUACGUACCUCUGGUUAGUGUUAUUGUCGAAAAUUGAAUUAGUAAAAUAGCUUGUGGUAAAAAUAAGAAAGAUAUAUUGGCCACCUGUGUGUUAAUUAUUGUUUCAAACCUGAAAAUGGAAGUCUAUAAAUAAAUCCCUAAAUGUUUUCCCCUCAAGACAGAGUUGUUAUUUUUGAGGAGCAAGGUACAUGAUAUAUAUGUAGGGCCUCUUUGGUCAACGUCUCAAUGGAUAUGAAGUAAACUCACGUUGACUCCGCGGCCCCAUGUCUAUCGAGCCCCACCUGCCAUCCUCUCCAGAAUCAGGAACAAAAGUGAAAAAAGCGGACAGCUGACCUGAUCGGGUGGUAAAAACCGACGUGCGCCAGUGAUGCCUCCAGAGGGAGGCAUGGCGCCUCAGCUCCGCCACCGAUGACAGCCUCGACGGCAGCAGCACGCGCAGUGUCGGCAGGGUCAAGGUGCGGCAGUAUGGGAAGACGUGCAAGGAGCUCACCGGUAUGUUCAUGACACGAGAGUUGGCCACGCACUCUGGCUCUGUAUGGUGCAUUAACUUCAGCUUGGCUGGACGGUACCUUGCGAGCGCCGGCGAGGACCGUGUGAUCCAUGUCUGGGAGGUCUCCGAGGGUGAGAGAAAGGGGGAGCUGCUCGGGGAAGGUGCGGUUUCAAAGGAGAGUGGUGGCGGAGGCAGUCUGUUUGUGGCAGUUGCUGGAAAUGGAUCGCGGUGGUGGCAAUGUUGCCGCUCAGCAGUGUAGACAAGGGAUAUGUGGAGAAGAGGAGGAGGCCACGGGUGCAGAGCAGCCGCAAGUCUGUCGGUUCUGAUCAUCUGGUUGUGCCCGAGUGCGUGUUUGGGUUCAGAGUGUAGGAGAUAUGCCCUAGAGGCAAUAAUAAAUGAUAUUAUUUAUCUCUGAGUUCAUAAUUAUGUUUAUGUUUCAUGCUAUAACUGCAAUGAUUCUCGAGUCUGCAAUAUCCACGAGGCUCGA